rnacentral:rRNA from 1 species
UACGUAGGGCGCAAGCGUUGUCCGGAAUUAUUGGGCGUAAAGAGCUCGUAGGCGGCCUGUCGCGUCCGCUGUGAAAUCCCGGGGCUUAACCCCGGGCGUGCAGUGGAUACGGGCUGGCUAGAGGCAGGCAGGGGAGAACGGAAUUCCCGGUGUAGCGGUGAAAUGCGCAGAUAUCGGGAGGAACACCGGUGGCGAAGGCGGUUCUCUGGGCCUGUUCUGACGCUGAGGAGCGAAAGCGUGGGAGCAAACAGG